GACGAACCACACAAACGUUAUUCGGAAUCACUGGGCUUAAAGGGUGCGUAGGCUGCGCGGAAAGUUGGGUGUGAAAUACCUCGGCUCAACCGAGGAACUGCGCUCAAAACUACCGUGCUUGAGGGAGACAGAGGUGAGCGGAACUUAGGGUGGAGCGAUGAAAUGCGUUGAUAUCCUAAGGAACACCCGUGGCGAAAGCGGCUCACUGGGUCUCUUCUGACGCUGAGGCACGAAAGCUAGGGUAGCGAACGGG
rnacentral:rRNA from 1 species